rnacentral:rRNA from 1 species
GAUGAACGCUAGCGGCAGGCUUAACACAUGCAAGUCGAGGGGCAGCAUAAUUGGAGGUUUCGGCUAAAGAUUGAUGGCGACCGGCGGACGGGUGCGUAACGCGUAUACAACCUACCCUUCAUUGGUGAAUAACCUGGAGAAAUUCGGACUAAUACACCGUAAGCUAUUUUGAGGCAUCUCAGAGUAGUAAAAGAUUUAUUGUUGGAGGAUGGGUAUGCGUGACAUUAGCUAGUAGGUGAGGUAACGGCUCACCUAGGCGACGAUGUCUAGGGGUUCUGAGAGGAAGGUCCCCCACACUGGUACUGAGACACGGACCAGACUCCUACGGGAGGCAGCAGUGAGGAAUAUUGGUCAAUGGACGGAAGUCUGAACCAGCCAUGCCGCGUGCAGGAUGACGGCUCUAUGAGUUGUAAACUGCUUUUGUAUAGGGGUAAAAUCGGGUAUGUAUACUCGACUGCAAGUACUAUACGAAUAAGGAUCGGCUAACUCCGUGCCAGCAGCCGCGGUAAUACGGAGGAUUCAAGCGUUAUCCGGAUUUAUUGGGUUUAAAGGGUGCGUAGGCGGAUUAUUAAGUUAGUCGUUAAAUCGCAAUGCUUAACAUUGCAAUGGCGAUUGAUACUGGUAAUCUAGAGAUUAUGUGCAGUGGGCGGAAUGAGUAGUGUAGCGGUGAAAUGCUUAGAUAUUACUCAGAACACCGAUUGCGAAGGCAGCUCACUAACAUAGAUCUGACGCUGAGGCACGAAAGCGUGGGUAUCAAACAGGAUUAGAUACCCUGGUAGUCCACGCUGUAAACGAUGAUAACUCGUUGUUGGUUUUUAAGGAAUCAGUGACUAAGGGAAACCGAUAAGUUAUCCCCCUGGGGAGUACGUUCGCAAGAAUGAAACUCAAAGGAAUUGACGGGG